rnacentral:rRNA from 1 species
AGCGAACGCUGGCGGCAGGCCUAACACAUGCAAGUCGAGCGCCCCACAAGGGGAGCGGCAGACGGGAGAGUAACACGUGGGAACGUACCCUUUGGUUCGGAACAACCCAGGGAAACUUGGGCUAAUACCGGAUAAGUCCGUAAGGAGAAAGAUUUAUCGCCGAAGGAUCGGCCCGCGUCUGAUUAGCUAGUUGGUGAGGUAACGGCUCACCAAGGCGACGAUCAGUAGCUGGUCUGAGAGGAUGAUCAGCCUCACUGGGACUGAGACACGGCCCAGACUCCUACGGGAGGCAGCAGUGGGGAAUAUUGGACAAUGGGCGCAAGCCUGAUCCAGCCAUGCCGCGUGGGUGAUGAAGGCCCUAGGGUUGUAAAGCCCUUUCGGCGGGGAAGAUAAUGACGGUACCCGCAGAAGAAGCCCCGGCUAACUUCGUGCCAGCAGCCGCGGUAACAC